ACCCAGCUGAAGAGUUGCAAAUAAGACGAAACAAGUAAUCUAAAUUCCAAUGCUAGUCUUGAAU
rfam:Schistosoma curassoni strain Dakar, Senegal genome assembly, scaffold: SCTD_scaffold0012310